UAAGCUGUAUUUGCGGGUUGGGAGCAAAAUUUUAGUCAAAAUAGUGCGGCUUAUAAUCGAGAAAUUACUGUAAUAUGGAGCUAUAAUGUGAGUUCAGCUAGCCAGUUUGAGAAAGACACUGACAGAGUAACAAAUACCUAGCUCUGUUAACAUCAAUAAUAAUUACAAUAAAGCUCUACAAGUGGAAAGAGGCCAGACGUGGCCAUGCUGCCAUGACUUCUCUCAAAAUUUAUGCUUUUGGUAGGCACAGAAUAGGUCCCAGAUUCUCUAACUGGCUAACUACAGGAACAGUUCAGAAGCUGAUGUAAUAAUCUGCCUUUAAACAAGUAAAUGAAAAAUUGAAUGCUUAGAUUUUUUUUUUUUUCUGUAAUUUCAGCUGUGUUCAUUCUGGAAGUUUUUUCCCCCUCCAUUGUUACUUUGUUAGAAAGAAGUACUACUAUUGUUCACAUAGCUGCUUGAGACUUAUCUGAAACUAAACUUGCUUGAAGUUCCAAGGCAGACAUUUAAAGCAAACUCCCAAUCUUCUUAAAUCUGCUUCCAAACCAUCUUUGAGACCAACGCCCAGACAUGAAUUUCAGGAAAGCAGCAAAUAUUCAACCAUUUCAAAACAUGAAGAUCAGGCAGGCGGAUCACUGACACAUAUAACAGUGCUGUACAAGUUACUGCAUGAAGAGAGCAGCACUCAUCUUUCACAAGGGAAAGCCAGAAUGAUGCAUC